rnacentral:rRNA from 1 species
GAUGAACGCUGGCGGCGUGCUUAACACAUGCAAGUCGAACGAUGAAGCCCAGCUUGCUGGGUGGAUUAGUGGCGAACGGGUGAGUAACACGUGAGUAACCUGCCCUUAACUCUGGGAUAAGCCUGGGAAACUGGGUCUAAUACCGGAUAGGAGCGUCCACCGCAUGGUGGGUGUUGGAAAGAUUUAUCGGUUUUGGAUGGACUCGCGGCCUAUCAGCUUGUUGGUGAGGUAAUGGCUCACCAAGGCGACGACGGUUAGCCGGCCUGAGAGGGUGACCGGCCACACUGGGACUGAGACACGGCCCAGACUCCUACGGGAGGCAGCAGUGGGGAAUAUUGCACAAUGGGCGCAAGCCUGAUGCAGCGACGCCGCGUGAGGGAUGACGGCCUUCGGGUUGUAAACCUCUUUCAGUAGGGAAGAAGCGAAAGUGACGGUACCUGCAGAAGAAGCACCGGCUAACUACGUG